rnacentral:rRNA from 1 species
CCCGUUGUACACACCGCCCGUCACGGCAUGGGAGUUGGUUUUACCCGAAGACGGUGCGCUAACCGCAAGGAGGCAGCCGGCCACGGUAGGAUCAGCAACUGGGCCG